UACGUAUGGAGCAAGCGUUAUCCGGAUUUACUGGGUGUAAAGGGAGCGUAGGCGGCCAAUUAAGUCUGAUGUGAAAACCCGGAGCUCAACCUCGGGAUUGCAUUGGAAACUGAUAGGCUAGGGUGUCGGAGAGGCGAGUGGAAUUCCUAGUGUAGCGGUGAAAUGCAUAGAUAUUAGGAGGAACACCAGUGGCGAAGGCGGCUUGCUGGACGAUUACUGACGCUGAGACUCGAAAGCGUGGGGAGCAAAC
rnacentral:rRNA from 1 species